rnacentral:lncRNA from 1 species
CAAAUUUUGCAUUUUGCUUAUGUCUAAGUAGGGAGCAUUAUUGAAUAAAUUUGGUUUUGGAAUCUAAAGUUGGGGAGAGUAAAGAAAAAAUAGUUGAUUAGAAACUUGGAAAAGUGAGUUUUUAUGAAAGGGUGAAAAUAUGAAAAAAAAAACAAGAAAAAGAAAUCACCCUUGAAACCAUAGAGCAAAGAAAAAAGAAAAGAAAGAAAAAAAAACAAAGAAAAGGCUCAUGGUUGUGUGGAUAAAUAUAAGAAAAGGAAAAAGACGGGGAUCAAAGAAAUGGAAAUUGUGUAGAGUUGAAUGUAUGGGAAUGCUCCCUUAGGAUAGGCAACUUUGUUGAAUUCUCUUAAUCAUAUCAUUUCUUGUAACCCAAGCCACAUUACAACCCUUGAAAGACCUCUUGAUUCUCAUUUGUCACAUGAUUUGGUAUUU